rnacentral:rRNA from 1 species
UACAGAGGUCUCAAGCGUUGUUCGGAUUCAUUGGGCGUAAAGGGUGCGUAGGUGGCGCGCUAAGUCAGGUGUGAAAUUUCGGAGCUUAACUCCGAAACUGCAUUUGAUACUGGUGUGCUUGAGGAGCUGGAGAGGAGACUGGAAUUCAUGGUGUAGCAGUGAAAUGCGUAGAGAUCAUGAGGAAGACCAGUGGCGAAGGCGGGUCUCUGGACAGUUACUGACACUGAGGCACGAAGGCCAGGGGAGCAAACGGG